GAGUUUGAUCCUGGCUCAGAUUGAACGCUGGCGGCAGGCCUAACACAUGCAAGUCGAGCGGUAGAGAGAAGCUUGCUUCUCUUGAGAGCGGCGGACGGGUGAGUAAUGCCUAGGAAUCUGCCUGGUAGUGGGGGAUAACGCUCGGAAACAGACGCUAAUACCGCAUACGUCCUACGGGAGAAAGCAGGGGACCUUCGGGCCUUGCGCUAUCAGAUGAGCCUAGGUCGGAUUAGCUAGUUGGUGAGGUAAAUGGCUCACCAAGGCGACGAUCCGUAACUGGUCUGAGAGGAUGAUCAGUCACACUGGAACUGAGACACGGUCCAGACUCCUACGGGAGGCAGCAGUGGGGAAUAUUGGACAAUGGGCGAAAGCCUGAUCCAAGCCAUGCCGCGU
rnacentral:rRNA from 1 species